AUACGUAGGUGACAAGCGUUAUCCGGAUUUACUGGGCGUAAAGGGCGUGUAGGCGGUCUUGCAAGUCAGAAGUGAAAUUCCUGAGCUCAACUCGGGCGCUGCUUCUGAAACUGCAGGACUUGAGUGCUGGAGGGGAUAGCGGAAUUCCUAGUGGAGCGGUAAAAUGCGCAGAUAUUAGGAAGAACACCGGUGGCGAAGGCGGCUAUCUGGACUGUAACUGACGCUGAGGCGCGAAAGUGUGGGGAGCAAACAGGAUUAGAUACCCUGGUAGUCCACACUGUAAACGAUGAAUGCUAGGUGUAGGGGGUAUCGACCCCUUCUGUGCCGCAGUCAACACAAUAAGCAUUCCGCCUGGGGAGUACGGCCGCAAGGUUGAAACUCAAAUGAAUUGACGGGG
rnacentral:rRNA from 1 species